rnacentral:rRNA from 1 species
UACGUAGGGCGCAAGCGUUGUCCGGAAUUAUUGGGCGUAAAGAGCUCGUAGGCGGCUUGUCACGUCGAUUGUGAAAGCCCGAGGCUUAACCUCGGGUCUGCAGUCGAUACGGGCUAGCUAGAGUGUGGUAGGGGAGAUCGGAAUUCCUGGUGUAGCAGUGAAAUGCGCAGAUAUCAGGAGGAACACCGGUGGCGAAGGCGGAUCUCUGGGCCAUUACUGACGCUGAGGAGCGAAAGCGUGGGGAGCGAACAGG